rnacentral:lncRNA from 10 species
GUUGAGAUAUUCCUUGAGUUGGAAGUACUACUUUGGUUUGUACAACCUUGUUCCUCUUACUAUCACUGAAGGAAACCUAUUCCAGAAGCUGUGUGGCCAAAAAGAAGAAAAGCACAAUGAAGUACAUUUCCAGUAAUUUUUAUAGGCUGUCAGUGCCAAGUUUAAUUAGAGAGCACAUUCCAAUGCUUCCAAAUACCUGGAAGAUGCUUUGCAAGCAGAUGGAGAGUGACAGUAUAUGCAUUUCAGAGUAAUCCUGGUAGGUCCAGCAAACUAUGUAUUUUGUGUGUUAUAAUCUCCUCCAUUUUUAUAAGGCUAACAGAAUCAGUAGAAGCAGCACCGAAUCAAAAACUGUUUGUGUUUCAGUGCAUGGUGUUAUAGCACAAACUCCUGUCUGGUCAGUGAAUUUAGCACAAAAACAAGGCAAGUAUUGAUGGAAUAAAGAAAAGGACCAUCUCCUGAAUACCUAUGAGUAAGAUGAUUCACAAACAUUCUUUCAUUUAAUCCUCACAGCAAUUCUAUGAGCAAUUAUUGUUAUCCUUUUUUUUUUCUAAAUGAAAACAUUGAGGCUUAGAAGAACGAAGUAACUUGUCCAAGACUCAAUAGCUUCCUAAUUGAUGGGAGCCUCUAUUUGAAUCCAGGCAAGGCAUCAUAUUAUCUGGAGAAGAUUCAAAGAAAACAGAAGUAGCAUGAAUAUGAUGAAGAAACCAGACAUGAAGAGGCUAAAUAGCUUAACAAAGUCCACAAUGCUGAAAAGUAGAGCUGUAAUUUGAACUCAGGGGUUUUAAUAUCAGAGAUUAUGUUCCUUACCAUAGGUUUUAAUGUAGAGUCACUGAAGGAUACUACAAAUAAGUAACUAAGGCACUGCCUUUUUCUUUAAAUGUUAUUUUUAUUAGAUAAUUACUUCGUUUAUCAACCCUACUCAGAGUCAGGUAUACCACCAGGCACUGGGAAUACAAAGAUGAAACUCACGGUUUAGCCGGGAAGACAGGUCUAACUGAUAUCACAUGAUGCACCUGAUAAAUUCACCGUGAUAAGUGCAGUGGUGGUGACAUGUCAGGGUAUUAUGAGAAUAGAGAACCGAAACACCAAAUCCAGCUAGAAGAGGUAUAAAGGCUUUCUGAAGAAAAAGUUAGCUGAGCUGCGGUUAGCUGUUUGGAGGGAAGUUUGGAGAAGGGAUGCCCGCUCCAGGCAGGUAAAUAUAAGGCAGGCAAAGUCACCAUGGAGUUUAAUGUACUGAAUCAUGGAAUGCAAUGUGGAGAUGAUGUUGAAGUCAGGAGUGAUAAUCAAGGCUUAGACCUUAGAGGCACUGUGGAUAAUGGGAGAGUCUGGACUUCAUCCUCUGAGUAAAUGGGGAGCUGGUCCAGAGUUAUAAAUAGGAUAGUCACGUAAACAUGGAUAUAUUUUAAAUAUAUAGUGGGGUGGCAGGUUGGAAAAGUAACUGAAGUUCUAUUAGUCAAAAUAAGCCAGAUUGUGCUAUGGUAACAAAUAAAUAUCCAAAUAUCCGUGAGUUAAUGCAAUAAAAGGUUAUUUCUUAAACACCCAAAGUCCGAGGCUGACUAGGCAGCCCUUCACCACCUGGUAGCUAUGCCAUCUGCAAUAUGUAUCCUUCCAGGUUAUUGCACUGCAGGUGACAAGAUGUUUUUAUGGGUUGGGACUAGAAGUGGCCUUCAUUUACUUUUCCCAUAUCUCUUCAUCUGGGAUCCUGCCACAUGACCCAGAGUAAGUGCAAGAGGCUUUAGGCAAGCACUGAGAGUCUACCACAGAAUAGGGCACUUCAUUCAAUCUUGUUUAUAAUAGGUGAAAUAUACCUAUAAUUUCUUACUGUAUUACUGGAGAAAAAUCAGUUUAUUUAUGUAUUCAGUUCAUUAAACAAAUGCUUUUGUGAACACCUACUCGGCACUGUCCUAAGUUCUGUCUCUGUCAUAAAAAGCAGGGGUAAAGCAUUGCUCACAUUACUUCCCUGCACAUCAACUCUUCAUUGGCUCUCCAGUCACAUGGUGACAUGUGCAAGGGGACAGCAUUAGAGUAAGAGGGGUGAGAAGCGUAACAUAGGCCAGAUCAUGUGGAGUUUUGUAGGACUUUGAAUUUAACUUAAAUGAAGGGCCUUAAAACAUUCUAUGCAGAAGAGUGAUAUAAUCUGACUUCCUUUUUUAAAAAAUAAUUCUGGCUGCUCUGUUGAGAACAGACAUAAGAUGAUGGGGUAGACACAUUGAGCUCUCUUAGGAAGUUAUGUAGUAAUCCAAGUGAACAAUGAUUAUGGUUUUGAGCCAGGGUAGAAGCAUGGAUCUGGUGAAAAGUGGUCUGAUUCUGGAUAUAUUUUGAAAUGAAGGUAUUUAAUUUUGAACUAAAUAAUUAGAAUUUGAAGACAGGUGAGACGUAUGCUAUAAGACAAAAAGGUCUUAACUUGAGCUCUUAGGAGCAUGGAGUUGCAGCCAACUGAGGGGAGAUAAGCCUUAAUCAUAUGAAGUAUUCCUAGAUGGCUUCAAAAGGGCUCGAGAGAGCAUUAACCCCCUAAAUAAUUCAGCUCCAAUGGAUGCUUCCUUUAGAAUUUCAAAUAAUAACAAUGUUGAUGAAAAAGUAUUUUUCCAAGAUUUAAAGCUUAGCCCCAAGCAUUCCCUACAUUGACAAAAUUUCGCAUAAAAUCUAAGAUCUAUCUACCUAAAAAUAAAACCAGUAAGAAAAUUAUAUAAUUAUCUUUUCUGAAAGCCAAGUCAUAAAAUAUUAAGCUAUAUUAGAUUAUUUUGAUGUGACAUAAUUCAUUUACUUUUUGUUAGGGGCACGUUUGCUUUAUGGGAACUACCUACGAAGCUCUCUUACAGAAAUAAACUGUUCGUUUAUCAUUGUUGUUGUUAUUAUUUAUGUAUUAGAAAGACAUCAAGUAAGGUAUGCCACUUCACUUUGGCAGCUUAAUUAAUCCACUGAGUAUUAAUUAGUAGAUGAGGAAAUGAUAAAGAUUCUCUCUUUGACCAAACUUUGAUCAAACUCUUCUGAGCUCUCUUUUUAACCAGGCCCCAACUUUCGAACUUCCAUGUUAGUUUCUGCAUUGUCCAAUUUAGCAAGAAUCUUCUCAGUUUAGCCAGAAUUUUUCAUUUUUGAUAUAUGAUCACACUUUGGUAUCUGAUCAGGUUUCCUUCCUCUACAAUGCUUCUGGUGAUAUUUGAUCACCCUGGUCUGCCUUCAGCAAGAAUCCCAUCAGAUCUGUUAGCCAGGACCCCCCCUUACCCCAAAUGUUAACUCUUAGUAAUUUCUAUCCAGUAAGCCCCUCCCCUUAACUCAGCUCCUUGGCUAUAAAUUCCCACUUUUCCUUGUGGUAUUCAUAGUUGAGCCCAAUUUCUCUUUUCUACUAUAAAAUCCUAUUGGGGUAGCCUUCCUGUGUAACUAUUGUAAUAGUACUCUUUGAAUAGUCUGCCUUACCAUUCUUUAAUGGGUGUAAUGAAUAAUUUUUUCUUUGACAAAGAUCAUAUUUGAGCUGGAUUUUGAUGAAAGCAGGGAAGGAGGGAGAAUUUCUUCAGGCAUAUAGAACAGGAUGCAUAAAUGCAAGGAUGUGAAAAAGGAUGGCUGAUUCAUGGAAAUUAUAAAAUUUAGGGCUCAUGAGAGCAGAGCAGUUUGGUUCAGGAGUGUGAGGAGUAGGAAACUGAACCUGGUAAAGUCUGGUAAGAUUGAUUAUAAAGUUAUGCAUGGGGC